GGGUCGAAUCGGAGCUGUAGACGCUGGCCUACACCACAGCCACAGCAACGCCAGAUCCAAGCCGUGUCUGCGACCUAUACCACAGCUCACGGCAAUGCCAGAUCCUUAACCUACUGAGGCCAGAGAUCGAACCCGGCACAAGGCUGAUUCUUCCGGGAGGACCAGGAAUCUGGGGCAGGGGACAAGCUAGCCCAGACAGCACUGAGGCCACAUCCUGAAAGGGGCAGCCAGAGGGCAGUGGAAUGGGGUGGUGGCAGGGAGGCUCUAAGCUGGGUCCCCGAGACACCGGGCCCAGGGUGACAGGGCUGGCCGGCCUCCUUUCUCCCCAGUGUCCUUCUCUAGGUAAAAGCACAGACCAACUUUAUCUCCACCAGAGUACUGAGCUUCAGGGAAGGAAGGGCAGCCCGCCCACACGGAGCCCUUCCCCACGCACGCGGCCAGGCCGGCUCAUGUUCCUAACGACCCAGUGAGGUGUGAGCUCUCAGCCUCAUUUGCUGAGGAGGCUCGGUGCCUUGUCCUGCCCAUGACUGGCUGAACUGGGAUUUGAAUCCACGUGGUCUGAUCCCCGAGUCCACACUGAGCUGCCUUUGUGCCCUUGUCAGCUCCUGCCUGUUGGAAGUGCUUUCCCACCCACUAUUUCCCCUAAUCCUGCCGAGGCCUGGGUGGCAGAGCCUGCCCUUGUGCCCUCUGGGAGGGGAGCCCACUGAAUGGCUUGGUAACCCGCUCCCAGGUCUCACAGCUCGUCAGUGGCUAAGUCCGAGUGGGAGAACAGAGCUGGGGCUCGGGGCCCAGAGAGCUUUCCUCCAUGAUCCUGUCUGGAACGGGGUUGCCUCACUGUCCACAGCGAAGGACACGGAGCCCGUGGCAGUGGGGAGAAGGCCGCAGGGCUCAUCCCAGUGGCGGGCCAGCCGGGCUCCUCCCCACCUCAGAAUCUCAUUUGCCACCUGCUGUCACCCCAAGUCUGCUUCUGCCAAGCCCUGGGACUCACCUUAUUUUACUGUGGCCUUGCAGAAACCGGAGAGCACUGGCUCUCUAAGGUGGGGUAUGACCACUCAGAACGCUGAGCUACCUAGAAAGACCCUCCUGCCUCGAACUUGACCUUAACCAGGAGCUUCUCUCCGCCCGGGUCCCCCAACAGCAGGCUCAGGAGGACAGGAAGGCUCGUUGGGGCUGCUCACUGCCCAGCUCCAAGGAUGCAGGCCAUGGGCUCCGUGGAGGGUGUGGAGGUAGAGGGAUACUGGGCGCGGAGCACCUCGGCCGUCGGGGAGGCAGCAAAGAGGGCUCAAAUUGCUACACGCCCACGGCUUGGGGAGAAGGGCGUGCUGAUACGAAGAGACCUCCCCUCACCGAGACCUCAGAACAGCCUUUUGGUGCUGCCAGGCAUGAUGGCUGCUUCUCUCUCGCAGGAGAAGAAAAUGAAAUUCAGAAGUAAAGUGACUGAGCCAGGAAAAUAGUGCUCGGGAGAAGUCCGCCUUAGGAGACCGGGCUCCUGACCUUUCGACUCCUCUGCCUCCGUGCUGCAGCCGGCGGCUCAGGUCACGGACUGCAUGGGGCAAUAAUGUUCUGCCACCCACAGGUGCCCAUCUUUGCUGUCCUCCGGGGCUUGAGGGGACAGAGGUGACUUUAACACAACUCUGACCCUUGCCUACAUGUGGCCAACACAGCCCUGUCACAGGCGGGGCAGGAGUGGAGGAAGAGGUGCUCGAAAUGCACGCACCUGUUUCCCCUGCAAUGCUCUCCCUGUUUCCCCUGCAAUGCUCUCCCUGUUUCCCCUGCAAUGCUCUCCCUGUUUCCCCUGCAAUGCUCUCCCUGUUUCCCCUGCAAUCCUCUCCCUGAACUGCUUGCCUCUCCACUUCCAGCAAACAGGGCGCUUCCAAGCCAGGCUCUCCCAUGGCUUAAAAGCAGCAGCUCUGGAUUCAGGGAGGUCAAGUUCAAUCCCACCUUCACUCCGCACCAGACAUACCUCCCAAAGGACACAAACUGGAUCUGGAUUUUUACAUACAUCUCCUGAACUUAAAAUGUUGGCAACUGAUUCAGGAUUUUUCAAACACUUCGACAGGGCCAAACUAAACACAUUCGUGGGCCAGAAUCAGCUGGUGAGUAAGUGAGAGCCGCAUAAAACCCUUAGCACAGCGGUUGGCACCCCGUAUGGGUGCUGGUUAUUAACACCACGGCCGACUCAGGCCGGGAGGGCAGUCCUCUGACCAGGGCCCACCUGAGGGUGGGCUCCUCAGUGAGGCAGCGGGCCUCUAUGGUGAGGAAGGUGCCCCACAGCGGGACACCUUGCCUGCCAAUGCCCUGCUCGUCACGCGGGUUCCUGCUGCCCAGGACCAGUAACCUGUCGGCGUGCAGACCUGCACCCGCCCCCCAGCCAGCUCCCUGUCCAACCUGCCCUCCGUGAAACACCCCAGAGUCCUCCCGGGCAGGGUGUUAUUAAAGGAACAGAUUUUGUGGUGGCUUAAUUGGAAUAAUAACUAGGUUUCAGAGGGAAGCCACCGCUUUGCUGCUUUCCUUUGAAACAAGUCUGUUCCAAAGGCCUCCCUGCCUCAGGUGAGCCUCUACUGCCAGUGGCUAAGAAGCCCCUCAGGAGGUCUGAGCUCCCCUGUGGGACAGCCCUUUGCCCCUUGGACCCCGUCUCCAACCCAGCAGAGGGGUCGGGGAGGAUUCUUUUCCCAAAGCUGCACAUCCCGGGCUGCACAUGCAGCUGGGAGAGGGAGUGCCGAGAUUCGGUCCCCACCUCUGGUUUCCCUCCCCCGGCUCCUCCAAUCUGUCCCAAAGCAAAGGUCUGCUACGGGAGAAGCCCUCAGGGUCACAAGGUGCCUGCUUAGAGGGACAGAAAAGUGCUCCUGAAAUCCUACCCCACAAAGGCAGCUGGGAAAGAAAGUGUCUCUGGCUCCAGCGCACUGGCACUCAGGCACCACCCCAGCUGGAGACACACACAGCUCUCCUUCGGGAGUGUGGCAGUUCUAGAUCCCCCUCCACGAGCAGCAGCCCCACAGCCUCACUGUGCCUCCUCUGCCCCUCCACCCACCCUUGGCAAGUCCAGAGGGCGCUCCCCCCAGCACACCCCAGGAGUCCCCCAUCUCUAGGGCCACCGCACUGGUGCAGGCCCGUCUCAUCUCCCGCAGGACCCCUCAUUCAUCUCCCAGCUUCCACUAUCAUCUUCUUAUAAUCCAGGAGGCACACAGCAGCCUGAAUGAUCUUCAAAAAGCAUGAAUCAGAUCAUGUCAUGCCCUAUUUAAAAUCCUUCAAAGGCUUCCUGCUGAUCAAAAGACAACACUCCAGCUUCUGACCAUAAGACCCCACAUGACCCGGCCCCUGGCUCCCGCGUACUGACCACCACUCCCUUUCCCAGCGAAACUGGCCUCCCUCUAACAAUCCAAGAGUCCAUGGGUUCAAGACCUGUGCUCAGGUGUGCGCUCUGCCUGUCAUAUUCCAUGCAGUCUAGGCCCGUCUGACUCUCCAUUCUUCAAGUUUCAGCUCAGAUGGCACAGAGGUUGAUGCCAGCUGCUUUAUUUACGGAAAGCCCACCGCCCUGUUACUCAGCUUCUUCAGAACAACCGUCACAAUCUGUGUUUGUUGAUCUACUUGUUGAAUGUCCUCCUUGGGAAUGUACAUUCCGCCACAGUAAAAAGCACAACCAUUUGGAUCCCUGCUGGCACCCCAGUGCCCCCUGGAGUUGCACCCAGCGUAUAAAAGGGGCUUGGUACACAUGGCGUGCUGGGUGUGCUCCUGUCCCCACCCUCUGGAAGUGUGGGGCAACAGAGCCCAGCCGGCCUGCUCGCCGCUUGCGGGAGCAAACACCCCGGCUCAACAUUUUGUCCUGUUUGCACAGCCUGCCUUCCCCAUCUUAACCUCACACAUUUUCCAGGAGGCUUUAUUUGGUUGGGCUCCUGGCUAAUGAUCAAUGUCAACUCAGUAAUAGGGCAGCAAUUUGGUGGCAGAUGUUUUCUUGGCAGCACUGGCCACUGGUCUGAGUGGGGGCCUCGGGUCUGGACUUGCAAUACCCAUGCCCAAUGCCAGCCCCCUUUAAAGACCUCUCCGCAAAUAAACUCAAAUAAACACCCUGGGCCUCCAUGAACGCCCUUCCAGCUGACCCUGGAAACAGUGGGCCUUUCAGGCCUGCGACUGCAGCAGCUCCCUGGGCAGUUAAAACACCCCAACCUGGCCUCCGGCCUCUCCUCUCUGGGGGCCACCAGGCCUACCCGCCUGCCACCACACACAGCAGGAUUUCGUCCUCCUCCUUAGAAGGGGGGAGCAGGGGGAGGCUUUCAAGCAGGCAAUUUACCAUUCCAGACACAAUCUUUCAAAGAGAAACAAAAACUCUCCCUGUCUGAGGCAGACCGCUAAGGCGUGUGUGUAAUAAGAUGCUAAUACAAUUUAAUGAUAUUUCGGCUGGAAAACCCGUCCUCAGAGCCUGCUUGAGUCGGGAAGGCCAGACGUUCAGAAAACAAGAGUGGCACACUCUUAAAGCUGUAUAAAAAACGGGGGUCAGAGCCCCACUCUUUCCUAUCUCUUGUUAACUUUAACGCCUUCUCAGGGACACUAGCUGCCGUGGCAAAAAUGAGUUCGUGACACACAGAUGCUCAGAUUUGCUUCCGCACGCACAGGGGAGCCUGAGCCCUCCUCCAACACCCAUCACUGCCCACUGCAAGUGUCCCAAGGGGCACCCAGAUCCCUCGAACACUAUGCCCACACCCACCCUCUGCUCCCAGUUCUGGGGACAUACCAAGGGGAUCCUGGGAGACAGAAAUGGGCUUUGUCUACUUUGUCCUUUGGCACCGUCUCACCCUACUUUCCACCUCAGAGAGGGCAAAGUUCAGUCCGCUCGCUCCCACGGAUGGCUGCCCAUUGGCAAGUGCAGGGUCCUCUGAUCCCUUCUUUAGAGAAGGGAGCUGGCUCUCUGGCCUAGCCUGGAGGGAGAGAUCAAAGGUCAGCUGCAUUGGGUCCUCUCCAGAUCAUUCACAGCAAGCGUAAGAAGAGCUAAUACCAAGCCAAGUGCUUACCACAGGCCUGGCUUCGGGUUUAGUCUUCUUCUUGCAACGUAGCACUUAAUCCAGACACCCACCACGAGAGAGGUACUGUUAUUAGGCCCAAGUGCAGAUAGAGAAAUUGAGGCAUGGAGCAACUGCCGCAGCUGGUGACUGCAAAGCCAGCAUUCAAAGCUAGACUGCCUGACCCCAAAUAACGUUGUGGGCCCCCCCUCCCCGCCUCCACCCCACCCCCGCAGGGGCCAGAGUGUGCAGUGCACAGGCCUACGAAACCAGAAUCUGGCUGGGCUACUCCGGAUUCCUGUGGAUUGUCUGAGAACCCUCUUGGGUUCCUGAACGCUGAGCUACGCAGUGACGUUCCCGUGUGGAGGACAGGACAAGCCAGGCAGCCCCCUGCCCCCCAACUCUGCCCUGGCCUUCCGGCAGAGAACCCAAAGGGAGAACUGUGAGGCCCACAAAGAGCCUGCCUGCUGGAUAAGCUGGGAAGAAUUUGGACUGGAAGCCUCUGACUUGGUUCUUGGCUGUAAAGACAAGUACCUCGGCGUUAACGGGCACAGCGAUUCACCAGAAUACCCUGCGCUCAACCUCAAGAACGUGGAAACCAGGGUUGAAAGCCUGACCUCAAGAUUCUGAGAGGACCUGGGGGUUGGGGGUCAGCAGUGCCACCUCAGCUGUCAAUGAAAGCUAAGUGGAGACUUCCGACAGCCUCUUGGAUCAGGGCUAUUGGCUGUUUAGCCAGGCAAUUUAGGGAAAGGAAAAGCAUGUUAGAUGGGAAAUGUUCUGGAAAUAUUUGCUGCAUCCUGAGCCCAAACAACUCGACUCUUAAACACUUCAGCUCCAAAAGUGCUGGGGAGACCCUUGGCUAAACAGUUUCAAAACCAACAUUCACUGCUCUUGCUGCCUGGGGCAAGGACUUCCCUCCGGGAGGCAUUUGCUGUGGAACCAAAUGCUUUUCCACUCGAAACAACAGCCAACAGCACUUGGGACAACCGAGAGGCCUCCAGAUCAAACAAACAUCCCUUUUCUUCCCUACCACGCAAACUUUCUCAAUAAAUUAUUCGCCCACUUCGGAUCAAAGCCUGUUUUUGCAGCCUAUGACCUAAAAAGCAAAUAGCAUCUCUUAAACAUGAAAGCCCUCCUCCCUGCCUGGGUUGGCUUUAUUACUCAUUCCUUCCCUUUACAGUUAUUCUGUUGUUAUUUUCCUCCUCUGCUUGUUAGAUCGCUCUGCGAGUCCCAACCCGCCUGAGGAAGACGGGACAGGAGAGAUGGUGCCAUCACUUGGGGCUCUAAGGUGGGAGAGGAAGUGGAGGUAGGGGAGAAGUCAGCACCCUAGGAACCCAGGAAACAGGGCCAGGUCUGGUUGGCAGCUCCCUGCCCAGCUCGUCUGCCAACUGUCCUACUGGGAAUUUUACCAGUAAAGGGCGGGAGUAAAAGCCACCUUAGGAAGAGGGGCCAGGGGGCCCUACCACCACCCAGGCCCAGGACUCAGUGUGCAAACCUAACCGUCAAAGGGACCUCCUGAGAGCUUGUCCAGUUUCAAAGCUCAGGGCUCCUCCCCCUUGCAACAAAGGCAAGGUGGCAGGUCAGUCGUGCUGCCUCAACUCCUCAGCUCAGACUGCAGACACGAUGCCUCCUGACGACCUCCUGCAAACUCGGACCCUAAAUGAAACUUUGUGUCUAGGAACACAAAGGGAAGGCGGGAAGGGGGUAGGAGGGAAUGCUAAGCGCAGCAAGAAGGUUUGGAAAUGUGCAGAAGCCAGAGGCGCGGGAUGCAGGGUACCCUUGGCACCGAGCAAAGGGAAACGCAGCCCACCCCGCCCCACCCGCCUAGGACCUGAGACCUGCGGCCAAGGUGCUAAGGAAAAACGUCCCGGCCCACAGCAGAGGCUAAGACGAUCGGGAGGGGGUGGCGCGGGCCUCCAGCCUGCCCCUAAAGGCAGCCUGCGGGACAGCAAGCUGGAAGCACGCCGGCGCGAUUCCGACCGAGGGAGCCGGGAGGAGGAGCCGGAGGUGGCUGCGGGGGGCUCUGGCCCAGGCGAAGGAAGGGCAAGAGACGGUUCGGACCGGGGGUGGCGCCGGGAGGUGGCCUGGAUGCCCGGGGCUGGGGGAGGGGCCUAGGGAGCGGGUGAGGCGAGUCGAGCCCCUUGGGGCGGGGGGGGGGGGGUGCAGUGUGAAGUGGCGGACUGGGUGUGUGUUGGGGGAGGGUGGGCGUCCUGGCCCUCUGGAAGCUACAGUGAAGGCUUCCUGCCUGGUUCGCAGACAUUCCCCUUUUCUGACAUCACAGCUACGAAUCACCGAGCUGACCCCCUCUCGUCCUUUGGCCUGGAGAAGAGAGAGUCUCAGGGCUCGGAGAUAAGCGGGAAGGCACCGGAGGGAGCCACAAGUCUGCACCCAGGCGGGGAGGAGGCGGGCAGGAGCCGCUCCGCAGGCGCAGGCGAGUGGGUGGGAAGGAGGGAGGGAGAGAGGGAGGAAGGAGGUGAGGCCGGGAAGAUGCCACUGCCGGGGGCGGGGCGGGGCCGGGGAUCCGGGAGAGGGACUGCAGCGGUGCCUGGUGGGGGCUGCAAUGUCACUCAUUUUGGGGGUCAGGUGUGUGAGUCCCAGGCUCGGGCCGCCACUUGCCUACAUCUACCCAGUACCACCUAGGGCGCAGGGGCGGAGGCGAAGGGUAAGGGACUGCAGAACCGUCCCCGGAGCGGGACGCGAACCAGCAGAGUUGGGAGAAGGUAAACAAGGGCCACGCCCCCUGCCGUCGCCCCGCGGGCGCGCACCCGCCGCUCGGGCUGCUGCCGGUACAUUUCCACUCCCAGCGCUUCUCCCCCGCUGGACUCCCGCGCAGCCUUGGAGGGGGGGCUGCCCCAGACCCCAGCCCGCGCCCCUCGCGCUGGGACUACGCACCUUCCAUACUCACCUGGAAAGGGUAUCCCCUGCCCCUCCGAAAAACUGCUUAAUUUGUGCAAAGCCCCCGCGCCCGGGAGCUGAGCAUGCUGCCCCCGCGUGCAGAGCCCGCGUGCACCCAGCCCAGAGAGGGGGCGACAGGGCGGAGGCGGUGGCCCCCGGAAGGUGUCUGGGACCGGACCGGCUGCACGUGAGCCCAGCGCGGGGUCAUGUGCACCGGCUCAGCCCGGUUCGGCGCCCGGACGUGCUGCGUAUCAACAAAAUGAAACUCGGGGAGACAGGAGGGCAGAAAGCUCCGGGUCCUCCGAACCCCCAUCCCCGGCCGCUCGAUCUCCUCUCCGCACCGGUCUCCCGCCGCAGCCCCUCCGCCCUGCCAGAGCCCGCGGGGCAAGUUGCAGCCCUGGCGCGCCCCCGCCCGCCCGCGCCCCCUCCCCGGCCCAGGGGCGCUUUGCCGCAGUCAUUAAUAAAGAAGGUCGCCAAGCUCACCCUUCCAAAAGUUGUUGUUGCAUGCGCCCCUCUCAGCCUCCCCGCAAUGUACUCUUUAAAACACGACUGACCAACAUGCGCAAU
rnacentral:lncRNA from 1 species